GCGUUGUUGACUAUCUGGGAAAUAGGUUAAAUUCCUAUGCGGUUCCCGCCACUGUAAUGAGGAUGAAAGUAGCAUAACCACUGAGAAAUUGGGAAGGGCUAUUAGUAAAGUGAUUCUAAGCCAGGAGACCUGCCUUUAAAAUUU
rnacentral:ncRNA from 1 species